AAGCGUGGGGGAGAGGACUUCUUGGAUCCACCAACCCUCCAGCCGCCCCCGAAUGUGCCUGGUCCCUCUCCUCGCCUCUUCUCACCGCUGAAAGUCCCACCAUCUAGCCAACCUUGCCUUCAUGCAAUAAAUCACCAAGUCCUAUGGAUUCACCCUCCUGAAGCUCCAUGAGGGCCACACCUGUGGCAUAUGGAAAUUCCUGAGCUAGAGAGCUACACCUGGAGCCCACGCCACAGACACAGCAAUGCUAGAUCGGAGCCUCAUUGGCCUAUGCCGCGGCUUGUGGAAACACAGGAUCCUUAACCCACCCGACCAAGGCCAGAAAUAGAAACGCAUCAUCAGGGAGCACUAUGUCAG